rnacentral:tRNA from 1 species
GGGUUCGUAGCUCAGUUGGUCAGAGCGUUGCGCUCACAUCGCAAAGGCCGCAGGUUCAAGUCCUGCCGAACCCA